rnacentral:rRNA from 1 species
UUGACCUCAAAUCGGGUGAGACUACCCGCUGAACUUAAGCAUAUA